rnacentral:rRNA from 1 species
UACGUAGGGGGCAAGCGUUGUCCGGAUUUAUUGGGCGUAAAGAGCGUGUAGGCGGCCAGAUAGGUCUGCUGUGAAAACUCGAGGCUUAACCUCGAGAUGUCGGCGGAAACCAUCUGGCUAGAGUCCGGAAGAGGAGAGUGGAAUUCCUGGUGUAGCGGUGAAAUGCGCAGAUAUCAGGAAGAACACCUAUGGCGAAGGCAGCUCUCUGGGACGGUACUGACGCUGAGACGCGAAAGCGUGGGGAGCGAACAGG